UGGGGAAUCUUGCACAAUGGGCGAAAGCCUGAUGCAGCCAUGCCGCGUGAAUGAUGAAGGCCCUAGGGUUGUAAAAUUCUUUCGCCAAGGAUGAUAAUGACGGUACUUGGUAAAGAAGCCCCGGCUAACUUCGUGCCAGCAGCCGCGGUAAUACGAAGGGGGCUAGCGUUGUUCGGAAUUACUGGGCGUAAAGCGCACGUAGGCGGACUAUUAAGUCAGGGGUGAAAUCCCGGGGCUCAACCCCGGAACUGCCCUUGAUACUGGUAGUCUUGAGUUCGAGAGAGGUGAGUGGAAUUCCGAGUGUAGAGGUGAAAUUCGUAGAUAUUCGGAGGAACACCAGUGGCGAAGGCGGCUCACUGGCUCGAUACUGACGCUGAGGUGCGAAAGCGUGGGGAGCAAACAGGAUUAGAUACCCCCGUAGUCC
rnacentral:rRNA from 1 species